GACGAACGCUGGCGGCGUGCUUAACACAUGCAAGUCGAGCGGUAAGGCCCUUUCGGGGGUACGACGAGCGGCGAACGGGUGAGUAACACGUGGGUGACCUGCCCUCAGCUCUGGGAUAAGCCUGGGAAACCGGGGUCUAAUACUGGAUAUGACUCCAUGACGCAUGUUGUGGGGUGGAAAGCCUUGUGCGGCUGAGGAUGGGCCCGCGGCCUAUCAGCUUGUUGGGGGGGUGAU
rnacentral:rRNA from 1 species